CCUACGGGUGGCUGCAGUGGGGAAUAUUGGACAAUGGGCGAAAGCCUGAUCCAGCAAUGCCGCGUGAGUGAUGAAGGCCUUAGGGUUGUAAAGCUCUUUUACCAGGGAUGCAGUACCUGGAGAAUAAGCUCCGGCUAACUCCGUGCCAGCAGCCGCGGUAAUACGGAGGGAGCUAGCGUUGUUCGGAAUUACUGGGCGUAAAGAGUACGUAGGCGGUUAUUCAAGUCAGAGGUGAAAGCCUGGAGCUCAACUCCAGAACUGCCUUUGAAACUAGAUAACUUGAAUCACGGAGAGGUUAGUGGAAUUCCGAGUGUAGAGGUGAAAUUCGUAGAUAUUCGGAAGAACACCAGUGGCGAAGGCGACUAACUGGCGGUAUUGACGCUGAGGUACGAAAGCGUGGGGAGCAAACAGGAUUAGAUACCCUAGUAGUC
rnacentral:rRNA from 1 species